GAUGAACGCUAGCGGGAGGCUUAAUACAUGCAAGUCGAGCGGCAAGUUUUGAUAGCAAUAUUGGAACCUAGAGCGGCGCACGGGUGAGUAACGCGUACAUGACCUGCCCUAUACUGGGGGAUAGUCUUGGGAAACUGAGAAUAAUCCCGCAUGUGAUUAGAAUGCUGCAUGGCAAAUUAAUUAAAGCUGAGGCGGUAUAGGAUGGGUGUGCGUCUGAUUAGCUAGUUGGUAGUGUAACGGACUACCAAGGCGAUGAUCAGUAGGGGGCGUGAGAGCGUGACCCCCCACACGGGUACUGAGACACGGACCCGACUCCUACGGGAGGCAGCAGUAAGGAAUAUUGGUCAAUGGAGGGAACUCUGAACCAGCCAUCCCGCGUGAAGGAUGAAGGGGCUCUGCCUUGUAAACUUCUUUUGCAUGGGACGAAAAAACUUAAUUUAUUAAGGACUGACGGUACCAUGAGAAUAAGCACCGGCUAACUCCGUG
rnacentral:rRNA from 2 species